rnacentral:rRNA from 1 species
AUUGAACGCUGGCGGCAGGCCUAACACAUGCAAGUCGAACGAGUGGCGGACGGGUGAGCUAUGUCUGGGACAGUGACUGAUGGAGGGGGAUAAGUACUGGACACUAUAGCUAAUACCGCAUACCUGAGGCUGUGCCCAGAUGGGAUUAGCUAGUGGGUGGGGUAAAGGCACACCUAGGCGACGAUCCCUAGCUGGUCUGAGAGGAUGAACAGCCACACUGGAACUGAGACACGGUCCAGACUCCUACGGGAGGCAGCAGUGGGGAAUAUUGCACAAUGGGCGCAAGCCUGAUGCAGCCAUGCCGCGUGUAUGAAGAAGGCCUUCGGGUUGUAAAGUACUUUAAGCGGGGAGGCGUUACCCGCAGAAGAAGCACCGGCUAACUCCGUGCCAGCAGCCGCGGUAAUUC